UGCCGCCUUAUAAGCAGAUUGUGACAUACGGGGCGCGUUCUUACAAGAAUCCACUGACCUAGAAUUGUACAUAUACAUGUGAACCUUGCUGUGCAAAUCCAUCAUCUAAUCUAAAUGCAAUGACAUGUAUAGUCUAACUUAAUUCUCUAUCUGUAAACUACUAGGAAAAGAAAAAUGUUGAUCCAGAAGAUAUAGAAGCCAAUGCCAUAGAUGCUGAAACUAUGGGUACUAGCAGGUAAACAUGCUUGUUUGGCUUUAAACAAUCCAUAAUGGUCUAAUAUUUCCUAUUGUAAAUUUGCAUUUCAACACUCUUAUUUUCAUUCAUUCUCAGUUCUAAAGAAAAGGAGGUGGUAAAAGGGCAAAGCCUAGCCCAGUUUUUGAAGCAUCUAAGAAGACUUCUGCUACACAUGAUAGUCCAGCAAAGAACACAAGAAGUAAACAAUGUCCUCCAUCGAAGAGCACAAGAAGCAAAAAUUUGUGAACCUUCCUGUGCAACUACAUGUUAUUUUGUGGAGCACCAUGCCAUAUGGAACCUUGCUGUGUAGUUGUGUAGCUGAUGCAACUGCAUGUAAUUUUGUGGAGCACCAUGCAUAUUUGAACCUUGAUGUGUAGCUUGUUGUGUAGCUAAUGCAAUUACAUAUUGUGAAGCAC
rnacentral:lncRNA from 1 species